GCUCAGGAAAAACGCAAGAGAUGUGCUUAACACAUGCUAAUUGAAUGGUAUUAAAUAUAUCAUAGUGUAAUAGUGAGUAAUAUAUGAGAAUUUAUUUUUAGAAUAUAAAAAAAAUAGUAAUAAUUUAAUUUAUAAUAAGCGCAAUAGUGCUUGAAAAAAUAAUUAUCGUCUAAAAAAAAGCUCAUAUCUAAUUAGCUAGUUGGUGAAGUAAUAGUUUUACCAAGGCGAAGAUUAGUAGCUGCCUUGAGAGGGGAAACAGCCACAUAGAGAUUGAAAUACAGCUCUAACUCCUAAGGGGGGCAGCAGUGGGGAAUUUUCUGCAAUAAGCGCAAGCUUGACAGAGCGUCAUCACGUGAAGGAGGAAAGCCUAUAAAGGUUGUAAACUUCUUUUGCUUAAAUAUAAUACUGACGUUUAAGUAUAAAAAGUAUCGGCUAACUCCGUGCCAGCAGCCGCGGUAAUACGGGGGAUACGAGCGUUAUCCAAAAUAACUGGGCGUAAAGCGUAUGUA
rnacentral:rRNA from 1 species